UGGGGAAUAUUGCACAAUGGGCGCAAGCCUGAUGCAGCCAUGCCGCGUGUAUGAAGAAGGCCUUCGGGUUGUAAAGUACUUUCAGCGGGGAGGAAGGGAGUAAAGUUAAUACCUUUGCUCAUUGACGUUACCCGCAGAAGCAGCACCGGCUAACUCCGUGCCAGCAGCCGCGGUAAUACGGAGGGUGCAAGCGUUAAUCGGAAUUACUGGGCGUAAAGCGCACGCAGGCGGUUUGUUAAGUCAGAUGUGAAAUCCCCGGGCUCAACCUGGGAACUGCAUCUGAUACUGGCAAGCUUGAGUCUCGUAGAGGGGGGUAGAAUUCCAGGUGUAGCGGUGAAAUGCGUAGAGAUCUGGAGGAAUACCGGUGGCGAAGGCGGCCCCCUGGACGAAGACUGACGCUCAGGUGCGAAAGCGUGGGGAGCAAACAGG
rnacentral:rRNA from 1 species